UUUCAGGCAUGGGGCCGGAACUGUGCAUUCUAACCUGGUACCCCAGCAACCCCAAGGCCAUUGCCAUUGGUGUGGGAGCCAGCUAGUGGGCCCUUCUACUCAGCCAGGUUAUUUGUAAGACAAGCAGAAGAGAUCAGAAGCCAUUCAUGGACAUGUCCAUCACAUUAAAUGAGAAGGGCCAGCUUCCAGAGCUUUGGCUGGCUGCGGAGCCCAGGAGGAAUAUUCACUGAAGGGAGGCAGAUGAAGACAUGAUCACUCUCCAAAAAAGCAUGAAAGGGAUCCUUCCCACACUACUCAAGGACAGCAAGACAAAGGCAGGUAGGCGCGGGCAGCAAGUUGCUGCGGAGAGCAGCCGAAAUCUUGCAGCCCUGCCCUGGGUCCUGAUCAGCCAUGGAGACCAGCUGAAGGGCUUGUCGGCCGCAGAGCAAGGGAGAUUAGUGCCAUUCCAAGACAUGCACAGAGGUCAGCAGGCACAAUUACUGGCCCUGGGCUGUCCUCUGGUCUCUUCCUCCACCUCUCCUCUCUGCAUGAGAAGUCCAGAAGUUAACAAUCCAACUCCCAAGGCUGAUAACCAAACAGCGCAGCAAGGUUGAACCCAAGCAGAUGUGUGUGAUGCUCAAGUCUCCCCAACUCCCAAUGAGUGCUUUCUGGAUGCCAGCCUUUGUCUGGCGCAGGACAAGACAGAAGAGCCAUAAUCAACUUUAAUAAAAUGAAAGAUCGUAUCCAGGCCAAAGGGGG